rnacentral:lncRNA from 10 species
CCGAGAUGGCCCCAGGUGGCUCAGGUGCCUGGGGAAGGGAAGAGGGAGCUGGGGGCGGGCGAAGCAGGCUGUGAGGACAGUUAUUUUAUAAGGAAAAACCAAAUGUGAGGGGUCCAUGGGGUCCUGGAGGACCCCCCCACACACACUGGGCGGGGGCUGGAGGGAACACGAGGUAAUCUGCCCGGAGCAGAAAUGGGCGUCUCUGGUAUACAACGGAGACCAAAGCUGCAGUUGGAGAGGUGUGUGGGAGGAGCGGCCGCCAGCCCAGGGCUGAGAAUGUGGCCACGUCAGUGACCCCUGUCCAGGCUUGGAAUGCACCUCCUGGGUUGAGGGGUGUGGAAGCCCCCAAAGGCAGUGGGGUUGGAUGCAGGCAGGUGUGGGGUCUCCCAGUGCAGGCCGACAGCAGGCACGCUCCACAGCCGCCAGGCUCACCUGGCCCGGCCGCCACACCUGCAGCUCCCGCACGCAGUAGCCCUGGGCCUGGCCCUUGCCGAGGACGCGCAUGUGCACACGGCCGAACUCUUGGCUGCCGGGCAGCUCUGGCCAGUCCCGGAAACACUUGUUCCGAGGGGAGCGCUUUGCAUCAGCCUUGCUGGCAGCACCUCGGCACCCCGCCCCUGCGACCUGCAGAGACGCAGGAACCGGCAUUCCUGCUGCUGCAGCAUCUGGAGGUGAUGGAGCCUUCAGCUCACAGCCCCGGCCCCUUCCCAGAGCCCGAGAUGGCCACCCCCAGCCCGUCCCGUGUGGGCGGAAGAGUACCUAGGUGCCGAGGCAAGAGACUGAAGGCACAAACUGUUUCAGUAUAAUAAAGAAAAUAGAAUAAGAAUAGUCAUAAUACAAAUUAGAUACAGCGAUGAUCAUGAACAAUUAUCCAUCAUUAUUAUAAACAUUAUUAAUCAUUAGCUUUUAAUAUUACUCUGUUGCAUUAAUAAUAUAACCUAGGAAUAACCGGCAGGUAUAGGGUCAGGUGCUGAAGGGACAUUGUGAGAAGUGAAUAGAAGGCAAGAGGGGAGCCUUCUGUCAUGCCCGCAUAAGGGCCGCUUGAGGGCCCCUUGGUCAAGCGGUAACGCCAGUGUCUGGGAAGGCACCCGUUACUGAGCAGACCGGGAAAGGGAGUCUCCUUUCCUUGGAGGAGUCAGGGAACGCUCUGCUCCACCAGCUUCUUGUGGGAGGCUGGAUGUUACCCAGGCCUGCCUGCAGUCAUCCGGAGGCCUGAACCCCUCCCUGUGGUGCUUCAAUGGUCACGUUCCUUGUCCACUUUCAUGCUCCUUCCGUACUCCUGGUUCCUCUUUGAAGUUCGUAGUAGAUAGCGGUAGAAGAAAUAGUGAAAGUCUUAAAGUCUUUGAUCUUAUAAGUUCAUAGAAGAAAACGCUGAUGCCUGCCGCCUUCUCUCUCUGCUUCAGCUACCUAAGAGGGAAGGGCCCGCUGUCCUGUGAUCACGUGACUUGCUUCACCUUGUCAAUCACUUAGAAGACUGACCCUCCUUAUCCUGCCCCCUUGUCUUGUAUGCAAUAAAUAUCAGCGAGCCCAGCCGUUCAGGGCCACUACCGGUCUCCGUGUCUUUGUGGUAGUGGUCCCCGGGGCCCAGCUGUUUUCUCUU